rnacentral:rRNA from 1 species
GUGGGGAAUAUUGGACAAUGGGCGAAAGCCUGAUCCAGCCAUGCCGCGUGUGUGAAGAAGGUCUUCGGAUUGUAAAGCACUUUAAGUUGGGAGGAAGGGCAGUAAGUUAAUACCUUGCUGUUUUGACGUUACCGACAGAAUAAGCACCGGCUAACUUCGUGCCAGCAGCCGCGGUAAUACGAAGGGUGCAAGCGUUAAUCGGAAUUACUGGGCGUAAUGCGCGCGUAGGUGGUUUUGUAAGUUGGAGGUGAAAUCCCCGGGCUCAACCUGGGAACUUCCUCCAAAACUGCAUGACUAGAGUACGGUAGAUGGUAGUGGAAUUUCCUGUGUAGCGGUGAAAUGCGUAGAUAUAGGAAGGAACACCAGUGGCGAAGGCGACUACCUGGACUGAUACUGACACUGAGGUGCGAAAGCGUGGGGAGCAAACAGGAUUAGAAACCCCGGUAGUCC